AAUGGCACUGGAAGAAUUCACGGCUUGUAUUCGAAACCGUGAUUUCUCCGGUGUUAUGAA
rnacentral:pre_miRNA from 1 species